CUUUAGAACCCACGAGUGAUGAGCUGGAUGGUAUCGUUUUUACACAGUCUGACUAUGAUUUAACAAGAGACGUAUUCCUGAACGUUAGAGAGGUCAGCGUUUAUAACCAUCUGCCUCCGAAAAAAUCAAAGUUGAGACGAAAACUUGUCUUUAAAAAAGACAAUCCGAUCCCAGCUAAACAUGAAAUAGAGGGCGAAGCCAUUCAUGCACCACAGUCACCUGACCGUGCGCCGGAAAAAUUAACAGCUCCGGAAGAGGAGAAUAUAUCGAAUGAUUUAAUCCAGAACCCAAGCCUGGAUAACAUUCAGCAGAACUGUAG